rnacentral:rRNA from 1 species
UAAUACGGAGGUGGCGAGCGUUGUCCGAAGUUACUGGGCGUAAAGCGCGCGUAGGCGGGCUAGUAAGUCGGAAGUGAAAGGCUGGAGCUUAACUCCAGCAGUGCUCCCGAUACUGUUAGUCUUGAGGGCGGCAGGGAGAAGUGGAAUGGCUGGUGUAGCGGUGAAAUGCGUAGAUAUCAGUCGGAACACCGGUGGCGAAGGCGGCUUCUUGGGCCGUUCCUGACGCUGAGGCGCGAAAGCCAGGGGAGCGAACGGGAUUAGAUACCCCGGUAGUCCUGGCCGUAAACGAUGGAUACUAGGUGUCGGGGGUAUCGACCCCUCCGGUGCCGCAGCUAACGCAUUAAGUAUCCCGCCUGGGGAGUACGGCCGCAAGGUUG